UGCAGCCUUGUCAAAUUCAGUGCUCCGCCUCCAGUCGGCCACUGGCCAAAUGGCUGCCACAGUGAAGUGUAGCUCAUGGGCCCCGUCGGUUUAUUCACGACCUUCUGGGGAUAAAUCUGUGCUACACACAUUC
rnacentral:snoRNA from 1 species